ACAGCAGUCGCCACGGUAAUACGUAGGUCCCGAGCGUUGUCCGGAUUUAUUGGGCGUAAAGGGAGCGCAGGCGGUUUAGUAAGUCUGGAGUUAAAGGCAUUGGCUCAACCAAUGUAUGCUUUGGAAACUGUUUGACUUGAGUGCAGAAGGGGAGAGUGGAAUUCCAUGUGUAGCGGAGAAAUGCGUAGAUAUAUGGAGGAACACCGGUGGCGAAAGCGGCUCUCUGGUCUGUCACUGACGCUGAGGCUCGAAAGCGUGGGUAGCGAACAGGAUUAGAUACCCCAGUAGUCCCUGUCUCUUAUACA
rnacentral:rRNA from 1 species